AUUGAACGCUGGCGGAAUGCUUUACACAUGCAAGUCGAACGGCAGCACGGGUGCUUGCACCUGGUGGCGAGUGGCGAACGGGUGAGUAACAUAUCGGAACGUACCCAGUAAUGGGGGAUAACUAAGCGAAAGCUUAGCUAAUACCGCAUACGCCCUGAGGGGGAAAGCGGGGGACCGAAAGGCCUCGCGUUAUUGGAGCGGCCGAUAUCUGAUUAGCUAGUUGGUGGGGUAAAGGCCCACCAAGGCGACGAUCAGUAGCUGGUCUGAGAGGAUGAUCAGCCACACUGGAACUGAGACACGGUCCAGACUCCUACGGGAGGCAGCAGUGGGGAAUUUUGGACAAUGGGGGCAACCCUGAUCCAGCCAUUCCGCGUGAGUGAAGAAGGCCUUCGGGUUGUAAAGCUCUUUCGGCAGGGAAGAAACGCUCUGGGUUAAUAACCUGGGGUAAUGACGGUACCUGAAGAAGAAGCACCGGCUAACUACGUGCCAGCAGCCGCCGUAACAC
rnacentral:rRNA from 1 species